UAGUACUUUUAUCCUGCCUGGGAUGUGAGUUAAAUGUUCAAGGUAUCGGAUGGGCAUGCGUCCUAUUAGUUAGUUGGCGGGGUAACAGCCCACCAAGACGAUGAUAGGUAGGGGUUCUGAGAGGAAGGUCCCCCACAUUGGAACUGAGACACGGGCCAAACUCCUACGGGAGGCAGCAGUGAGGAAUAUUGGUCAAUGGACGAGAGUCUGAACCAGCCAAGUCGCGUGAGGGAAGACUGCCCUAUGGGUUGUAAACCUCUUUUAUAAGGGAAGAAUAAGUUCUACGUGUAGAAUGAUGCCUGUACCUUAUGAAUAAGCAUCGGCUAACUCCGUGCCAGCAGCCGCGGUAAUACGGAGGAUGCGAGCGUUAUCCGGAUUUAUUGGGUUUAAAGGGUGCGUAGGCGGUUUAUUAAGUUAGUGGUUAAAUAUUUGAGCUAAACUCAAUUGUGCCAUUAAUACUGGUAAACUGGAGUACAGACGAGGUAGGCGGAAUAAGUUAAGUAGCGGUGAAAUGCAUAGAUAUAACUUAGAACUCCGAUAGCGAAGGCAGCUUACCAGACUGUAACUGACGCUGAUGCACGAGAGCGUGGGUAGCGAACAGGAUUAGAUACCCUGGUAGUCCACGCCGUAAACGAUGCUCACUGGUUCUGUGCGAUAUAUUGUACGGGAUUAAGCGAAAGUAUUAAGUGAGCCACCUGGGGAGUACGUCGGCAACGAUGAAACUCAAAGGAAUUGACGGGGGCCCGCACAAGCGGAGGAACAUGUGGUUUAAUUCGAUGAUACGCGAGGAACCUUACCUGGGUUUAAAUGGGAAAUGCCGUAUUUGGAAACAGAUAUUCUCUUCGGAGCGUUUUUCAAGGUGCUGCAUGGUUGUCGUCAGCUCGUGCCGUGAGGUGUCGGGUUAAGUCCCAUAACGAGCGCAACCCUUACCGUUAGUUGCUAGCAUGUAAUGAUGAGCACUCUAACGGGACUGCCACCGUAAGGUGAGAGGAAGGCGGGGAUGACGUCAAAUCAGCACGGCCCUUACACCCAGGGCUACACACGUGUUACAAUGGCCGGUACAGAGGGCCGCUACCAGGUGACUGGAUGCCAAUCUCAAAAGCCGGUCGUAGUUCGGAUUGGAGUCUGUAACCCGACUCCAUGAAGUUGGAUUCGCUAGUAAUCGCGCAUCAGCCAU
rnacentral:rRNA from 1 species